AGGGCCUGUAAAAUUUUCGC
rnacentral:miRNA from 1 species